GAUUUAAAUGAUUAUUGAGAUUUUAGAUACCUACAUGUUUCACGGCGCAAAUAGGAUCAAUCCACUCUUUGUUCUUCUUGGUAUGAGUUUUCUUAUAGAAUUCUGGAAAUUCAAGGUUUUCACAACCAUUAAACUCCGGCUGCAAAGUGUAAUUUAGAUUAGCAUAUAGCUACUACAUAAUAAUAAAACUAGAAUAACUGUCAGAUCUACUUGCAUAAAAGGAUUCCAAAAAUAUACUUGCAGCAAACUAGAAUAAAAAAUCUACUUGCAGCAAAUUGUCUAUUUUACAAUAGCCAAAACUAUCCCAU
rnacentral:lncRNA from 1 species